UACAAAUGCUGGCUUUAAGAAUCAGUGGUUCCUGAUCUCAUCUUCAAAUGGGCACAGGAUAAUAGAAAUACCCAUCUUCCAGAAGUCAAAAGACCUUGGAUGUCUGACAAUUAGAAAAGAAGGGAAAACGUCUAAGAAAAAUUUACAAGCAAAGAAAAAUGAUACUCUGACCUAAUGAUAUCAAUAUUCUCUACAAGAUUAGCAACCAGAAGACAGUCCCGUGGAUCCAUAUAAAAGCCAUGAUCCUAGAGCUUCCGGCACUUGGCAAGAGAUCUCAGAAGAGUCGAGGCUGCUGCAGGCGCGCAGACAGGAGGCGUAGGUAAGUGAACCAGGGAGGAAGGUGGGUUAGCGAGCCUGUGUGUUUGGAUGCAGACAGAAAGAGGCUGCUGCAGGAUUUAUCUGGGCACUGAGUACCUGCAACUCCGCACUAGGAGGCUGAGGCAGGAGCAUGCCUUGCUGAGUUCCCUUGCUAUGCUAAACAGGGCGUCCUGGUGAGGCUGAAACGGAAAAUCAGUAGCCAUCUUGAGAGACGCUUCCGGCCACCCCUCCCCCCUCC